rnacentral:rRNA from 1 species
AACCUGUCCUGUAAUCGAUAAUCCACGUAAAUUUAACCUGGAAUUGUAUUAACAGCUUGUAUAUCGCUGUCGUAAGAUUAUUUUAUAAGAAAUUUUUCAAUACUAAAAUUUUAUUUAUGUCAAGUCAAGGUGCAGUAAAUGUCUGGGGUUGAGAUGGGUUACAAUAUAGGAAUAUAUACGGAAAUUAAUUUGUAAUAGUUUAUUGAAGGUGGAUUUAAUUGUAAUAUAGUGUUAAUUAUUUUAUAUGGAAAAGUACUAAUAUAUGC